rnacentral:rRNA from 1 species
AAAUUGAAGAGUUUGAUCAUGGCUCAGAUUGAACGCUGGCGGCAGGCCUAACACAUGCAAGUCGAGCGGUAGCACAGAGAGCUUGCUCUCGGGUGACGAGCGGCGGACGGGUGAGUAAUGUCUGGGAAACUGCCUGAUGGAGGGGGAUAACUACUGGAAACGGUAGCUAAUACCGCAUAACGUCGCAAGACCAAAGUGGGGGACCUUCGGGCCUCAUGCCAUCAGAUGUGCCCAGAUGGGAUUAGCUAGUAGGUGGGGUAACGGCUCACCUAGGCGACGAUCCCUAGCUGGUCUGAGAGGAUGACCAGCCACACUGGAACUGAGACACGGUCCAGACUCCUACGGGAGGCAGCAGUGGGGAAUAUUGCACAAUGGGCGCAAGCCUGAUGCAGCCAUGCCGCGUGUGUGAAGAAGGCCUUCGGGUUGUAAAGCACUUUCAGCGGGGAGGAAGGCGGUGAGGUUAAUAACCUCACCGAUUGACGUUACCCGCAGAAGAAGCACCGGCUAACUCCGUGCCAGCAGCCGCGGUAAUACGGAGGGUGCAAGCGUUAAUCGGAAUUACUGGGCGUAAAGCGCACGCAGGCGGUCUGUCAAGUCGGAUGUGAAAUCCCCGGGCUCAACCUGGGAACUGCAUUCGAAACUGGCAGGCUAGAGUCUUGUAGAGGGGGGUAGAAUUCCAGGUGUAGCGGUGAAAUGCGUAGAGAUCUGGAGGAAUACCGGUGGCGAAGGCGGCCCCCUGGACAAAGACUGACGCUCAGGUGCGAAAGCGUGGGGAGCAAACAGGAUUAGAUACCCUGGUAGUCCACGCUGUAAACGAUGUCGAUUUGGAGGUUGUGCCCUUGAGGCGUGGCUUCCGGAGCUAACGCGUUAAAUCGACCGCCUGGGGAGUACGGCCGCAAGGUUAAAACUCAAAUGAAUUGACGGGGGGCCCGCACAAGCGGUGGAGCAUGUGGUUUAAUUCGAUGCAACGCGAAGAACCUCACCUGGUCUUGACAUCCACAGAACUUAGCAGAGAUGCUUUGGUGCCUUCGGGAACUGUGAGACAGGUGCUGCAUGGCUGUCGUCAGCUCGUGUUGUGAAAUGUUGGGUUAAGUCCCGCAACGAGCGCAACCCUUAUCCUUUGUUGCCAGCGGUUAGGCCGGGAACUCAAAGGAGACUGCCAGUGAUAAACUGGAGGAAGGUGGGGAUGACGUCAAGUCAUCAUGGCCCUUACGACCAGGGCUACACACGUGCUACAAUGGCAUAUACAAAGAGAAGCGACCUCGCGAGAGCAAGCGGACCUCAUAAAGUAUGUCGUAGUCCGGAUUGGAGUCUGCAACUCGACUCCAUGAAGUCGGAAUCGCUAGUAAUCGUAGAUCAGAAUGCUACGGUGAAUACGUUCCCGGGCCUUGUACACACCGCCCGUCACACCAUGGGAGUGGGUUGCAGAAGAAGUAGGUAGCUUAACCUUCGGGAGGGCGCUUACCACUUUGUGAUUCAUGACUGGGGUGAAGUCGUAACAAGGUAACCGUAGGGGAACCUGCGGUUGGAUCACCUCCUUA